GGUUUGUGGCUCAAUGGUAGAGUACUUGCCUAGCAUGCAUGAGGCACUGGGUUCCAUUCUCAACACCG
rnacentral:tRNA from 1 species